rnacentral:rRNA from 1 species
UACGUAGGGUGCAAGCGUUGUCCGGAAUCAUUGGGCGUAAAGCGCGCGUAGGUGGCCAUUUAAGUCCGCUGUGAAAGUCAAAGGCUCAACCUUUGAAAGCCGGUGGAUACUGGAUGGCUAGAGUACGGAAGAGGCGAGUGGAAUUCCUGGUGUAGCGGUGGAAUGCGCAGAUAUCAGGAGGAACACCAAUAGCGAAGGCAGCUCGCUGGGACGUUACUGACACUGAGGCGCGAAAGCGUGGGGAGCGAACAG